rnacentral:rRNA from 1 species
CCGGCGCACGGGCGAGUAACGCGUAUGCGACCUGCCCGUUGCAGGGGGAUAAUCGGGAGAAAUCCCGUCUAAUACCGCGUAACGCCGCGGGGCUGCAUGGCCCUGCGGCCAAAGGGAGCGAUUCCGGCAACGGAUGGGCAUGCGUGACAUUAGCUAGUUGGCGGGGCAACGGCCCACCAAGGCGACGAUGUCUAGGGGUUCUGAGAGGAAGGUCCCCCACACUGGUACUGAGACACGGACCAGACUCCUACGGAAGGCAGCAG